rnacentral:rRNA from 1 species
GACGAACGCUGGCGGCGUGCUUAACACAUGCAAGUCGAACGGAAAGGCCCUGCUUUUGUGGGGUGCUCGAGUGGCGAACGGGUGAGUAACACGUGAGUAACCUGCCCUUGACUUUGGGAUAACUUCAGGAAACUGGGGCUAAUACCGGAUAGGAGCUCCUGCUGCAUGGUGGGGGUUGGAAAGUUUCGGCGGUUGGGGAUGGACUCGCGGCUUAUCAGCUUGUUGGUGGGGUAGUGGCUUACCAAGGCUUUGACGGGUAGCCGGCCUGAGAGGGUGACCGGCCCCCUUUGGACUUAGAUUCCGCCCAGACUCCUACGGGAGGCAGCAGUGGGGAAUAUUGCACAAUGGGCGGAAGCCUGAUGCAGCAACGCCGCGUGCGGGAUGACGGCCUUCGGGUUGUAAACCGCUUUCGCCUGUGACGAAGCGUGAGUGACGGUAAUGGGUAAAGAAGCACCGGCUAACUACGUG